UACGGAGGGUGCAAGCAUUAAUCGGCUUUAUUGGGCGUAAAGGGCGCGUAGGUGGGAUGUUAAGUCAGAUGUGAGAUCCCGAGGCUCAACCUCGGAACAGCAUUUGAAACUGGCAUUCUUGAGGGUAGGCGGAGAAAAUGGAAUUCCACAAGUAGCGGUGAAAUGCGUAGAGAUGUGGAAGAACACCGGUGGCGAAGGCGAUUUUCUAGCUUAUUCCUGACACUGAGGCGCGAAAGCAAGGGGAGCAAACAGG
rnacentral:rRNA from 1 species